rnacentral:rRNA from 1 species
UACGUAGGUGGCAAGCGUUGUCCGGAAUUAUUGGGCGUAAAGCGCGCGCAGGCGGUCCCUUAAGUCUGAUGUGAAAUCCCACGGCUCAACCGUGGAAGGUCAUUGGAAACUGGGGGACUUGAGUACAGAAGAGGAAAGCGGAAUUCCAAGUGUAGCGGUGAAAUGCGUAGAGAUUUGGAGGAACACCAGUGGCGAAGGCGGCUUUCUGGUCUGUAACUGACGCUGAGGCGCGAAAGCGUGGGGAGCGAACCGG